CCUACGGGCGGCAGCAGUGAGGAAUAUUGGUCAAUGGGCGUAAGCCUGAACCAGCCAAGCCGCGUGAGGGAUGAAGGUUCUAUGGAUCGUAAACCUCUUUUAUAAGGGAAUAAAGUGCGGGACGUGUCCCGUUUUGGAAGUAUCGUAUGAAUAAGGAUCGGCUAACUCCGUGCCAGCAGCCGCGGUAAUACGGAGGAUCCGAGCGUUAUCCGGAUUUAUUGGGUGUAAAGGGUGCGUAGGCGGUCUUUUAAGUCAGAGGUGAAAGGCUGGGGCUCAACCAUGGAAUUGCCGUUGAAACUGGGCGGCUAGAGUAUGGUUGAGGCAGGCGGAAUGCGUGGUGUAGCGGUGAAAUGCUUAGAUAUCAGGCAGAACACCGAUUGCGAAGGCAGCUUGCCAAGCCAUGACUGACGCUGAGGCACGAAAGCGUGGGGAGCAAACAGGAUUAGAUACCCGAGUAGUC
rnacentral:rRNA from 1 species